ACAGGACCACAACAGAUGUUGGUGCUGGGGUAGAGUUAUCAGUCUUUGGGGAAGAGGUUCAAGCUCCUCACACACAGAUGAAGUGCUGCUAGGCAUUCAGAGAUGCUAUUUCAGCUCUCCAUCUAAGGGAGGUGGGACUGGCAACUCUGACAUGCAAGGGAGGAUGAGGAGAACUGUAAGUAUAUGUGCUAUGCCAGCAACCCCUGUGCAGCAAUCAGCACAGGGCAGAGAGUGCCACCAUUUGGUUCCAUGCAAUC